rnacentral:hammerhead_ribozyme from 1 species
AUCUAGCUGACGAGUCCCAAAUAGAACGAAACGCGCAUCCUGGAU